rnacentral:rRNA from 1 species
AUUGAACGCUGGCGGAAUGCUUUACACAUGCAAGUCGAGCGGCAGCGCGGGGGCAACCCUGGCGGCGAGCGGCGAACGGGUGAGUAACAUAUCGGAACGUACCCCGUCGUGGGGGAUAACACAGCGAAAGCUGUGCUAAUACCGCAUACGACCUGAGGGUGAAAGCGGGGGAUCGCAAGACCUCGCGCGAUGGGAGCGGCCGAUAUCGGAUUAGCUUGUUGGUGAGGUAAAGGCUCACCAAGGCGACGAUCCGUAGCUGGUCUGAGGAGGACGACCAGCCACACUGGAACUGAGACACGGUCCAGACUCCUACGGGAGGCAGCAGGUGGGGUAAUUUUGGACAAGUGGGGGCAACCCUGAUCCAGCCAUUCCGCGUGAGUGAAG